UAUGGCCACAUCCCUUUGAAAUACCAGUUCCCAUAUGAUCACCGAAGUUAAGCAAUGCUGAGCCUAGUCAGUACCUCAAUGGAUGACAACUUGGAAAUACCAGGUGCUGUAA